rnacentral:lncRNA from 1 species
UGACAAAAUGCCAAAAGCAACUUGGAGAGGCAAGGUUUAUUCUACCUUACAGCUUGUAAGUUCAACGCCAAGAAAAACCAGGGCAGGAUUUUAGAGCAGGAACCUGGGCAGAAGUUGGAGCAGAAGUCAAUUGCUCUGACUUGCUCUUCCUGGAUUGCUCAGUUUGCUUCCUUAUACAACUCAGGACCCACACUGGACUCCCACAUCAGUCAUCCAUGAAGAAAAUGCCCCACAGGCUUGCCCACAGUCCAAUCUGAUGAGGCCAUUUUCCCAACUGAGGACUCCUGUCCCCAAAUCUAACUUGUAUCAGGUUGACAUAAAACUAGCCAACUAACAUGGUAAAGUUUUUUUAAAGUCUAUAUUAAAAUAUGAAUUACAUAUAUUAUUGUAAUUGUUUUCCUAUGUGAUGGAAAACUACCUGAAUUUGGCAAGAGAUAAAAAGCUAAGUAAAUGCUCCCCUCCCCCAAAUUAAAACCAGAAGGCAUUCUCGCCCAGAUUCAUUACUCAAAUAAAAAUGAAACCCAAAACAAAUACUCAGCGUAGCAGAGGAUGAAAUGAUUCCUUGCUGAGAGGGGAAGAAACACCUGAACCAGAAACCCCACAGAAUAGCUCCUUGUCUUCAAGUGUGUCUGGGGAAAGGAGUUGUUAGUCCCCAAACCCAAAUUCAGCAAAAACAUCGUUCAAGCGCUGGAAAGGAAACCAAGCUGUUCACAGCUAUAGGAAAACGAAAAAAAAAAAAAAAAACUUGGCACCAUCAGGCCUCACCUAAAAGAAUUGCCACCCCAACGCCUCUAAAACAAAAGAAAAAUAACACAGGAAGAAAUCUUGAAGCAUCAGGAAGAAAGGCUACAAUAAACAAAAGUCUGAAUGAGUAGAAUUUCCUUCUCUUCAGUUUUCCAUGUUGAUAGUUGAAGGAAGCCAGACACUGGCUGAGGUGGUUCUAGAAGUCUGUGGUGCAAUAGCUGGAUACUUAGAUUUGGGGUUGGGGAUAAAGGUAGAGAGAAGGGACGUUGCUCUCUGUGAUUCCACCUGGUAAAAGUGAAGAUACCAGUGGACUAUAAUGAGGAAGGAGGGGUGGUCUAAAACAACCACUUCUUAAACGCCGUGUAAAGGAAUGUACUCAAAGGCACUACAGGGUGGAAAGGCCGUGUGGCUCAGUUGGUAGCGAGCUUGCGAGGCUCACACAAGGCCAGGGCUUUGAUCUCUAGCAUCUCAUUACAUGAGUGUGGUGGUGCUCUCCUGUAAUCUCAGUGCUGGGGAGGUAGAGGCAGCAGGAUGGCAAGGUCAAGGUCAUUCUUACCUACAUAGCAAGUUCAAGGCCAGCCUAGACUAAAUAGACCUUUAAAUGACAUGCUAAAAGAGAUAUGGCAAAACAAGGGGAUUCC